rnacentral:misc_RNA from 1 species
CGAGCGGCGUGCCGGCGGUGUGCGUGCCGCAGUGGACGGACCAGGGCACCAACGCGUGGCUCGUCGCCGAGCGGCUCGGCGCCGGCGUCAGGGCCGCCGUGAGCGAGGUCGACGGCGUGCUGGAGGCCGGCGAGCUGAGGCGGUGCAUCGACGCCGCCACGUCGGAGGCGGUGCGCGCCAGCGCGGCGGCGUGGAGAGAGAAGGCGCGGGCGGCG